UACGUAGGGGGCAAGCGUUGUCCGGAUUUAUUGGGCGUAAAGAGCGUGUAGGCGGUUUGGUAGGUCCGCUGUGAAAACUCGAGGCUCAACCUCGAGACGCCGGUGGAAACCAUCAGGCUAGAGUCCGGAAGAGGAGAGUGGAAUUCCUGGUGUAGCGGUGAAAUGCGCAGAUAUCAGGAAGAACACCCGUGGCUAAGGCGGCUCUCUAGUACGGUACUGACGCUGAGACGCGAAAGUGUGGGAGCGAACAGG
rnacentral:rRNA from 1 species